rnacentral:rRNA from 1 species
CCACGCCGUAAACGAUGUCUACUAGUUGUUGGGAGACUUGAUCUCUUAGUAACGAAGCUAACGCGAUAAGUAGACCGCCUGGGGAGUACGGCCGCAAGGUUAAAACUCAAAUGAAUUGACGGGGGCCCGCACAAGCGGUGGAGCAUGUGGUUUAAUUCGACGCAACGCGAAGAACCUUACCUACACUUGACAUCCAGAGAACUUUCUAGAGAUAGAUUGGUGCCUUCGGGAGCUCUGAGACAGGUGCUGCAUGGCUGUCGUCAGCUCGUGUUGUGAAAUGUUGGGUUAAGUCCCGUAACGAGCGCAACCCUUGUCCUUAUUUGCCAGCACUUCGGGUGGGAACUCUAAGGAGACUGCCGGUGACAAACCGGAGGAAGGUGGGGACGACGUCAAGUCAUCAUGGCCCUUACGUGUAGGGCUACACACGUGCUACAAUGGCCGGUACAGAGGGCCGCGACCCCGCGGGGGUGAGCAAAUCUCAGAAAACCGGUCGUAGUCCGGAUCGCAGUCUGCAACUCGACUGCGUGAAGUCGGAAUCGCUAGUAAUCGCGAAUCAGAAUGUCGCGGUGAAUACGUUCCCGGGCCUUGUACACACCGCCCGUCACACCAUGGGAGUGGGUUGCACCAGAAGUAGCUAGACUAACCUUCGGGGGGUCGGUUACCACGGUGUGAUUCAUGACUGGGGUGAAGUCGUAACAAGGUAACC